GCGGGCGUCGCCAAGUGGUAAGGCGUCAGCCUUCCAAGCUGAUAUUCGUGGGUUCGAAUCCCACCGCCCGCU
rnacentral:tRNA from 1 species